CACACGUGUGGCUAAUUGACGAGCCCAGUCGACUAAAAAACAUGCCAAAAUCACACUUUUUAAUCCACAUGGACAAGUCGGCACAAACUACAAGUAUCACAAAACAUUCUGAUAAAUCCAUCAGCAAUGAAACAGGAACCUGAGCUGUUCCUUAGUGGCCACCCCUCUGUAAUCAUAGAGCUGUGUCACCCUCUGCAGAAUAUCUGAAUCAUCAUCUGACAAAGAGUCAACCGACCCCUGCCAUCUAAGCCCAAAGCAUGAACGUUGGCAAUCUCAAGGAUCCAUGUAUGACAAACGUAAUCCUGAGAUGAUGCUAAGAGGCACCCUGAAGAACUCAAACCAC